GUCGCUCUUCUCCCUGCGUGUGGGUCUCACGCGCCGCCGCUUUCCCGCGCGCGACAGCGCGUCCGUCAGCCGAUUCCGACCAUUUUCGCCUUGCGUGUGGGUCUCACGCGCCGCCGCUUUCCCGCGCGCGACAGCGCGUCCGUCAGCCGAUUCCGACCAUUUUCGCCGGUCAACCCGCCUCUCUCCACCCGUUCUAGAUUCGGCCUCCAUUUUACUUUCUGACUCACGAAAAACG
rnacentral:lncRNA from 1 species